GCUUGCAACCUACCCUGCUCUCAAACUAAGCAAGGUUGGGCCUGGUCAGUUGUGGGAUGUGAGACCUCCAGAGGAAGCCCAGAUGCUGCAGGCA
rnacentral:rRNA from 1 species